UACGUAGGGUCCAAGCGUUGUUCGGAUUUACUGGGCGUAAAGGGUUCGUAGGCGGCCCACUAAGUCGGACGUGAAAUCCCUCAGCUUAACUGGGGAACUGCGUCUGAUACUGGAUGGCUUGGAUUUGGGAGAGGGAUGCGGAAUUCCAGGUGUAGCGGUGAAAUGCGUAGAUAUCUGGAGGAACACCGGUGGCGAAGGCGGCAUCCUGGACCAACAUUGACGCUGAGGAACGAAAGCCAGGGGAGCAAACGGG
rnacentral:rRNA from 1 species